CCUACGGGAGGCAGCAGUGAGGAAUAUUGGUCAAUGGACGAGAGUCUGAACCAGCCAAGUAGCGUGAAGGAUGACUGCCCAGUGUAUUGUAAACUUCUUUUAUAAGGGAAUAAAACGAGGCACGUGUGCCUUUUUGCGUGUACUUUAUGAAUAAGGAUCGGCUAACUCCGUGCCAGCAGCCGCGGUAAUACGGAGGAUCCGAGCGUUAUCCGGAUUUAUUGGGUUUAAAGGGAGCGUAGAUGGGUUGUUAAGUCAGUUGUGAAAGUUUGCGGCUCAACCACAAAAUUGCAAUUGAUACUGGCAGUCUCGAGUACAGGUGAGGUAGGCGGAAUGCGUGGUGUAGCGGUGAAAUGCAUAGAUAUCACGAAGAACCCCGAUUGCGAAGGCAGCUUACUAAAUUGAGACUGACAUUGAGGCUCGAAAGCGUGGGUAUCAAACAGGAUUAGAUACCCGGGUAGUC
rnacentral:rRNA from 1 species